rnacentral:tRNA from 2 species
GGAGGGGUGGCAGAGCGGUUGAAUGCAGCGGUCUUGAAAACCGCCGUGGGUGAGAGCCCACCCAGGGUUCGAAUCCCUGCCCCUCCGCCA